GUGCUCACUUUGGCAGCACAUAUACUAAAAGUUGGAACAAUACAGAGAAGAUUACAUGACCCCUGUGUAAGAAUAACCUGUUUUAAUUUAUCAUUUGUUCAAUCUGCUU